rnacentral:rRNA from 1 species
AAGCAUAUCAAUAAGCGGAGGAAAAGAAACCAACAGGGAUUGCCUCAGUAACGGCGAGUGAAGCGGCAUCAGCUCAAAUUUGAAAUCUGGCCUCACGGCCCGAGUUGUAAUUUGUAGAGAAUGCUUCGGGCGAGGUCCGGUCUAAGUUCCUUGGAACAGGACGUCAUAGAGGGUGAGAAUCCCGUAUGCGACCGGUCGCCUCCGCCCAUGUGAAGCUUCUUCGACGAGUCGAGUUGUUUGGGAAUGCAGCUCAAAAUGGGUGGUAUAUUUCAUCUAAAGCUAAAUACUGGCCAGAGACCGAUAGCGCACAAGUAGAGUGAUCGAAAGAUGAAAAGCACUUUGGAAAGAGAGUUAAACAGUACGUGAAAUUGUUGAAAGGGAAGCGCUUGCAACCAGACUUGCGCGCAGCCGAUCAUCCGGUGUUCUCACCGGUGCACUCGGUUGCGCUCAGGCCAGCAUCGGUUCCGGCGGUUGGAUAAAGGCCUUGGGAAUGUAGCUCCCCUCGGGGAGUGUUAUAGCCCUCGGUGCAAUGCAGCCUGCUGGGACCGAGGACCGCGCUUCGGCUAGGAUGCUGGCGUAAUGGUUGUAAGCGACCCGUCUUGAAACACGGACCAAGGAGUCUAACAUCUAUGCGAGUGUUUGGGCGUCAAACCCAUACGCGUAAUGAAAGUGAACGGAGGUGAGAACCCUUAAGGGUGCAUCAUCGACCGAUCCUGAUGUCUUCGGAUGGAUUUGAGUAAGAGCAUAGCUGUUGGGACCCGAAAGAUGGUGAACUAUGCCUGAAUAGGGUGAAGCCAGAGGAAACUCUGGUGGAGGCUCGCAGCGGUUCUGACGUGCAAAUCGAUCGUCAAAUUUGGGUAUAGGGGCGAAAGACUAAUCGAACCAUCUAGUAGCU